rnacentral:rRNA from 1 species
UACGAAGGGGGCGAGCGUUGUUCGGAUUUACUGGGCGUAAAGGGCGCGCAGGCGGCUCAUUUUGUCAGGCGUGAAAGCCCCGGGCUUAACCUGGGAACUGCGUUUGAUACGGAUGGGCUAGAGUUCGGGAGAGGAGAGUGGAAUUCCCAGUGUAGAGGUGAAAUUCGUAGAUAUUGGGAAGAACACCGGUGGCGAAGGCGGCGACCUGGUCCGAUACUGACGCUGAGGCGCGAAAGCGUGGGGAGCAAACAGG